AGGGUUCGAUCCUGGCUCAGGAUGAACGCUGGCGGCGUGCUUAACACAUGCAAGUCGAACGAAGCAUUUGCGACAGAUUUCUUCGGAUUGAAGUUGCUUAUGACUGAGUGGCGGACGGGUGAGUAACGCGUGGGUAACCUGCCUCACACAGGGGGAUAGCAGUUGGAAACGGCUGAUAAUACCGCAUAAGCGCACAGUACCGCAUGGUACAGUGUGAAAAACUCCGGUGGUGUGAGAUGGACCCGCGUCUGAUUAGCUUGUUGGCAGGGUAACGGCCUACCAAGGCAACGAUCAGUAGCCGACCUGAGAGGGUGACCGGCCACAUUGGGACUGAGACACGGCCCAG
rnacentral:rRNA from 1 species